rnacentral:rRNA from 1 species
GACGAACGCUGGCGGCGUGCUUAACACAUGCAAGUCGAACGAAGCUUGAUUACGGAUUCUUCGGAUGAAGUAUGAUAUGACUGAGUGGCGGACGGGUGAGUAACGCGUGAGUAACCUGCCCUUCUGAGGGGGAUAGCGUUUGGAAACGAACGGUAAUACCGCAUAAUGUUUUUUGACCGCAUGAUCGAAAUACCAAAGAUUUAUCGCCGAAGGAUGGACUCGCUGCUGAUUAGGUAGUUGGUGGGGUAACGGCCUACCACGCCGACGAUCAGUAGCCGGACUGGGAGGUUGAUCGGACACAUUGGGACUGAGACACGGCCCAGACUCCUACGGGAGGCGGCAGUAGGGAAUAUUGCACAAUGGGCGCAAGCCGGAUGCAGCAACGCCGCGUGAAGGAAGACGGUGGUCGGAUUAUAAACUUCUGUUCUGAGUGAAGAAGAAUGACGGUAGCUAAGGAGCAAGCCACGGCUAACUACGUG